rnacentral:tRNA from 1 species
ACUAGGGUGGCAGAUAAAUGUAUUAAAUUUAAGUUUUAAGGAGGAAACUAGUU